rnacentral:misc_RNA from 1 species
UACAGAGGGUGCAAGCGUUAAUCGGAAUUACUGGGCGUAAAGCGCGCGUAGGCGGCUGUCUAAGUCGGGUGUGAAAGCCCCGGGCUCAACCUGGGAACUGCACUCGAUACUGGGCGGCUAGAGUAUGAAAGAGGGAGGUAGAAUUCCACGUGUAGCGGUGAAAUGCGUAGAUAUGUGGAGGAAUACCGGUGGCGAAGGCGGCCUCCUGGUUCAAUACUGACGCUGAGGUGCGAAAGCGUGGGGAGCAAACAGG